GAUGAACGCUGGCGGCGUGCCUAAUACAUGCAAGUCGAGCGAACGGACGAGAAGUUUGCUUCUCUGAUGUUAGCGGCGGACGGGUGAGUAACACGUGGAUAACCUACCUAUAAGACUGGGAUAACCUCGGGAAACCGGAGCUAAUACCGGAUAAUAUUUUGAACCGCAUGGUUCAAAAGUGAAAGACGGUCUUGCUGUCACUUAUAGAUGGAUCCGCGCUGCUUUAGCUAGUUGGUAAGGUAACGGCUUACCAAGGCAACGAUGCAUAGCCGACCUGAGCGGGUGAUCGGCCACACUGGAACUGAGACACGGUCCAGACUCCUACGGGAGGCAGCAGUAGGGAAUCUUCCGCAAUGGGCGAAAGCCUGACGGAGCAACGCCGCGUGAGUGAUGAAGGUCUUCGGAUCGUAAAACUCUGUUAUUAGGGAAGAACAUAUGUGUAAGUAACUGUGCACAUCUUGACGGUACCUAAUCAGAAAGCCACGGCUAACUACGUG
rnacentral:rRNA from 1 species